rnacentral:rRNA from 1 species
UACGGAGGGGGCUAGCGUUGUUCGGAAUUACUGGGCGUAAAGCGCGCGUAGGCGGCUUUGUAAGUUAGAGGUGAAAGCCCAGGGCUCAACCCUGGAAUUGCCUUUAAGACUGCAUCGCUUGAACAUCGGAGAGGUAAGUGGAAUUCCGAGUGUAGAGGUGAAAUUCGUAGAUAUUCGCAAGAACACCAGUGGCGAAGGCGGCUCACUGGCCCGUAACUGACGCUGAGGCACGAAAGCGUGGGGAGCAAACAGG